AGAAAAUCUUACAUUUUACUUUCGAGUGAUUGGCAUCCAAACUAAAUGUACUUGAACUGAAAAAAUCCCAUUUUACUCAUCUUCUCUAUAACGUUUCAACUGUUUGACCCCCAUUUUAUACUGAAAAAUUAUUCCCAUGUUUGAAUCAGACAUAGGGAUGAACCUAUUUUUGCAAGCACCUGCUACUUAGCAGUUAUGUGAUGUGAAAAAAGAAGAAAUUAUUGACAUUUACUUCCUUGUUUCAACAAGGACCUGGGAUAUGAGAACACUGGGAAUGCAGUUUGUUUUUCAAAAGCAAAAGAAAUGCCAGUAUCAGAUCACUGUAUUUGACAUUAUAAAAUAUUAUCAAAGUGGAAGAAUUUUUAAAGCAAACUUUAAGACAGUGAAUAAACCAUGAGAAUAAAUUAUUAGAUAUGGCAAAUAUAUGUACUUUUAAAUUCCAAGCUUAAAAAUUCACACACAUACACUUAAGAAUUUGGAACUUCAAAAACUUAAGAUAAUUUGACAUUUCUUCAAUUACAUCUAAAACCAAAAUGUUAGCUGUUUGCAUCCCUGAAGGCAACUUAUUAUCACAGAACAUAAAUCAAGAUAGUCAAUUUGUAUGCCUAGGAUAAAUGAGAAAAAGACUUAGUCAGCUUUCCAGGUGGUCACCGGAAAUUUUGUGAUGAAAUCCCAACUUACCCUUUAGAAAAUGCAAACCUGUAUUCUUCUUUAAUGUAAAUGCUUAUUUAUUUUCUCUUUUCAUGUAAGAGAUAUAACGCUUACAAAGUAUCAAAAAAUUAAAAGCAGUUUCAGAAAAUAUUUGCUUCUCAAUUGCCUAGAAAUUUCUAAAAACCUUUCUAAUAAAUCUUUAAGGUCAUAUCAAAAUCAGGCUAAGUAUGAUCUUGGUUGAAGAUGUGGAACAGAAAUAUGUAUCAGUUGAAAGGCAGUAAUUACUUAUCUUCUCAUUUAAGCUAUGUUACUCGCAGUCUGUAACACAAUUUCAUAAACAGAAAAGCAUCAAAGAAUAUGCAAAAAUGAACACACCUGCACAAUAUUAGACAAACUUGAAACUAUUAGGCCAUAGUAUGUUAGUAAUUAACCCAUUCUAGAGCUAAAUCAAGGCUAUGCAAUAAUCUUCAAAUAAAUUUAAGACACCCCAAAAGGGGGAUGUACAAUUAUUUGCUGUAAUUUAAUCCCAAUUCCACUCACUUGGUCUAGGACUCCAAACCCACAGUGAAACCCUUUAGACACACUACAAAGACACCCAAUAGUAUGAGACAGAAAUGCCUAAGCAAUUGAGAACAGAGCAGGUUUCUUUAAAAUUUUAGGUACAAUUCACAACUUGUAGUCUAGUUUCAAAUCCAUGCUUUUCCAGAUGUAUUUAUAGGUUAGAAUUUAAUGAAAGUUAAAAAAUACUUAAAAGAAAAACAUGAGAUGAAGCCAGCCUGUAUCACCUAGUCUCAGUUUAAUGAAUAAUGAAAUUAUUGAAUAAUAAUCAAAGGAGAUUUGGAAUGGGAUGUGCCUUUUGGGUCCCCAUUCCUCUAAAACUCCUAUUAGUGAAUUUGGCUCAAGCAUCACUUAUUCUGGAAAGAAACUAAACUUGCGUGAUCUGAAGGUUGAUACCCCCUGGAGGGCUGACAGGUUGGGGUAUCUCUUUUUUAUCAUACCCUGUAUUGUAAUUUUGUCCCCUUACAGAAAGAAAACUGAGCAUCUUGAAAGCAAUUUUAUUUAGAAAUUAAUGCCUGGCACAUAGUAGUUGUUGAAUAAAUGGCUGGCAAAUUAUUUUAUUAAUGAGUCCAUAAUCUGCCUACCUAGAAUGAGCUGGUGCAGGAAAAUUUUCCUACAUUAGGAAACAAUCCUCAAAUGCUAAGGUUACUGAGUAAGGACAGUGACAUUUAUUAUUUAUUUGAGAAAGGGUCUCGCUGUCACUCAGGCUGGAGUGCAGUGGCACGAACAUGGCUCACUGUAGCCUCAACUUCCUGGGCUCAAACGAUCCUCCCUACCUCAGCCUCCAGAGUAGCUGAAACCAACCAUGCCCAGCUAAUUUAAAUUUUUUUUUUUUUUGUAGAGGAAGGGUCUUAUCGUGUUGCCCAGGCUGGUCUCAAACUCCUGGGCUCGAGUAAUCCUCCUGCCUUGGCCUCCCAAAGUGCUGGGAUUACAAGUGUAAGCCACCAUGCCUGGCUAAGUUUUACACUAAAUCAAACUAUAAUACAAACUUCAAUUUAUGAAAAUAAAUGAGUCAUGCUUAUUAGGUAAUUUUUUAGCAAAUUGAAUUUUGAAUCUUAUUUUAAUUCACCUUAUUUUCUUACUGCUAUACAGAGUAGUGUCCAGAGAGAGAAUUACUUCUUGAUGACUGAAUCUUUUAGUAACUUAGGGUCAAAUUUUAAAUCAUAAACCAUAGUAAACUAGUUUCCAGAGGACUAGGCUGAACGCAGAGGCACCCAGAGAAGUUGGUUUCCUUGUUGUGUCUCUGAUAGCCUGUCAUUGCUGGCUUCACUUCUUGCACCCAAAUGGUACUACAAGUCUGGGAAUAACUGAAGGCCCCAGACAGAUGUGGCUGGUCAACCUUUUGCUUCUUCUGGCCUCCUCUCUACCCUCCAAAAAAACCCCUAAACUAUGAUUUUAAAAAAUCCAAAACUUUCUUAUAUAGUCACAGUGGUAUAUUGGUAGAAGAAUAGACAUACAGAUGAACAGAAUAAUGUCCAGAAAUAGAUCUACACAUAUAAGGUCAAAUAAUUUUAACAGAGGUGCCAAUGUAAUUCAAUGAGAAAUGGUUAAUCUUUUCAACAAAUGGUGUUGAAUGAUUUCCAUUAAAAAUAAAUAACCCACCUUCAUCUCACACAAGAAAAUUAAUGUGGAUCUAACACUUAAGUGAGAGCUAAAACUAUAGAACUGGAAGAAUACACAGGAGAAAAUCUUUGUGCCUUUGAGUUAGACAAAGAUUUCUUAGCUAGGACACAAAAAGCAUGAACCAUUAAAGUAAAAACAAGGUAAACUGGACUUCAUCAAAAUGAAAAUCUGUUCUUCAAAAGACACUGCUAAGCAAAUAAAAAGACAAGCCACAGAAUGGGAAAAAAUAUUUUAAGAGACAUAUCCAAUAAAGGAUGUGUAUCCAAAUGUACAGAUUCUUUUAACUCAAUAACAGUAAGACAAUAACAGCAACAACAAACGUGGGCAAGAAAUUUGGAUAGACAUCACAACAAGGAAGAUAUAAAGAUGGCAAAUAAGCAUAGGAAAGAUGUUCAAUAUCAUUAGUCAUUAGAGAAAUAAAUCAAAACCCAUGAGAAACUACUGCACACAUCCUAGAAUGGCUACAAUGAAAAAAGGCUAACAAUACCAGAGGCUGGUGAAGAUGUGGAACAAACAAAACGUGUUGCCAGUGGAAAUGCAAAAUCAUGCAGCCACUAUGGAAAAGUUUAGCAGUUUCCUAAAAAGGUAAACAUAUAUUAAUACUACCACCAUACAGCCCAGGAACCCUACCACUAGAUAUUUAUGCAAGAUAAAUGAAAACAUGUGACUAUAAAAAAUGAUCCAUAUGUGAAUUGUUACAGCAGCUUUAUUCACAUUAGCCCCAAACCAGAAAUAAUCGAAAUAUCCAUCAAGUGGUAAACUGAUAAACAAGUUUUGGUACAUCUAUAAAAUGGAAUAAACAAGUAUCAGCAAUAAACAAGUAUCAACUACUUACAGCAUGCAAGCAUGGGUGAAUCUCAAAAGCAUUACGCUAAGCUAAAGACACAAAGGGGUAUAUAUUAUAUGAUCUCAUUUGUAUCUUGUACAAAUGAGACCUGGUAGAUAAAACUGCAUCUAACUUGCUUUGAUUUUUCAGAUUUUUUUUUUUUUUUUUAGGAAAAAUGCCUAUUUGUUAUUGACAAAUGUCAACAAAAUGUUUAUAAUGAAACAUUUUGAAACUAACGGUGUGUUUACAUUUUUAACUGCUGCUAGAAAAAGAGAACAUUUCACAUUUGAAAAACCAUGCCCAAAUCACAGAUUGGAAAUGUUUCCCUCAUUCUCAUUAGCACUUUUUGAGAAAUAAAACAAAGCAUGUGUAAUUUUAAAAAUUGAAAUACAAUUGUGAUCAUAUAUCAUCAUAGAAAACAGGGAGUGAAAUAACAAUCAAUAGUUAGUUGUUAGUCUUCAUAUUAGACAAGGUAGAAAUGCAAAACAAUUUUAUUAGGUUUCUGAAAGUUUUCUCUUAAAAUCAGCAAAACGAAAAAGCUUCAGAGAAGCUAAUUCAUUCAUUUUUUUGGGGUGGGGGGAGUGGUGAGCUUGUUUUUAGUGGUAGAGAUUUGCCAACCACACCAAACUAGAAAUGGAAAAAAAAAAAGUCUAUAAAUAAUUUACAUGUAAAGAUAAAAGAAUUUUAAAAACAAUCCACCCUUGAGCAGAAGAAAUUGGGGAUCACUUUGAGUGUUAAUGUAAAAUACAUUAGUCUUUAGCAGCAGGAGUUCCAGACCUGCCGGUGCCAAGAAGGUAACAAAUAGUCUCUAUGUAAGAAGGGGGAAAUGGGUGCCCAGCGGGAGCUUUCUUCCCUGCUGUGUUAUUUAUAGAGAGCUCUAUUUGUUAACAUGUUUCUGCUAUCAUGGAGAGGGGGAGUUUAAUGAUUUAAAGGAUUUCAAAGACAAUUGUUUAAUGAUAUAAUGAUUUAUGUGCAUUCAUAAAUUCCAGAUAUAUAGCAAUUUAGUUUUUCAAACUGCUAUCACCAAAACAGCCAUAGGAGAUGUUGCAAAAGCUAGAGAAACCAAGUCAAGUGCCAGAUAUUAUUAAAAAAAAAAAAAAAAAAAAAGAACCGCUGGAAAACUCAGUGUUAAAAAAUCAGUGACCUACUGCCACACUUCAGGUUAGUAAACUAAUUUUAUCAGUGAGUUUUUGGUUUUCAAAACUUUUAAUGGAAAACCAUGAAUUAAGUCCCAAACUGCCUGUGACUAAUUAGAAUAAUCUGAGAGCCCAGUCUUUAACUGAGCUAUAUUUUCACCAAAAAUAAAAAAUAAAAAAUAAAAAAUUCCUCCCCCCAACACACAACAAAAUAUAAAGGAAUCUUGUUUAAAGGAAUGAAUAGUUUCACAUCAGAGUUAUUUCUAAAUUAUAUAUUCAUUUAUAAUGAUGAAUUUAUAAGAUUGUGGUUACUGAAAUAAUUUUCUGAAAUUUCUUGUUUAGGAUUUAAACUAUUAAAAUAAAAAUCUCAUUUGAGACAGAUAAAACAAGUCAUCAAGUCUUCUCUUAAAUUUAACCAAAAGGAAAACAAGUUUUAUAAUUUCAACUUUUGUUAGUUAAAAUUUAUAGCCAGGUUUUUUUUUUCUAAAGAAAAAUACAUAUCUUACCCGCUUUAAGUCUUCAAGUUUAUAUUUCCUUCAAUUUUCAUAAAGUUCCAUUAAUUCUAUCAAUUUAUCUUUUGUGGGGAAAAAAAAGAAAAACAAACAAACAAAAAAACAAACCUCUUAUCCAGAUAAAAUCAGCCAAUUCUAAAAGAUGCUUCUAACAACAGAGUCUAAGACUUCAGUGGUAAAUAUGUACUUAAAAAUAUAUAUGCUAAAAAAAAGUCUAAAAAUUGAGAGAUGUCUUCUUGUGCCUAAAAAUAACCUUUUUAGCAAAGUAGUAAUAAAGCAUUUACUCUCUGGCGGAAGAAGAAUAUAUUUAAUAGAAUGUUUUCUAUCUGAAUGAUGAAGAAACUUAUUUAUUUC
rnacentral:lncRNA from 1 species